CCAUAGCAACGAACAACGGUUUGCGCACAUUGAAUUAGACAAUCUUCCAUAAAUCCUGAAGUCAAUGAAUUAUUGACUUUUUAUCCGUUGUUUUUAUCCGUUCGUUUGUCUUCACAGGUUGUCGGUGUAAAUUAAGUUUGAACACAAGACAUUGACCCUAGUUGUGUUUCGUUUCCUUGGUUACGGGGCCUUCCAAAUCUGGCGUCCGCGCGAAGGAAAACAAACUUCGACUGUCCGGAAAACAGCGAAAACGGAGAACUCGCACCGCCUCGGAAGCCCCUGAUGGAAGGAUCCCGUCUUCGGACGGAAAUUUAAAAUAAUCAGAUUUCGAAGAAAUGGACGCGACCAAAAAGCCGCUUCGGAUUUCCCCAGAACUCGGGGUCUACGCGGAGAAACAUGGAAUAUUUCAGAUUCUGCAGAGAAUGCUGCAGUGUCUGCUCGUGGAUAAACCAAACGAUCCCAUUCAGUAUAUGAUAGAUCAUCUUAAAAGAGAAAAUGAUGAAGUUCCCCGGAUUUUUCUACUGGGUCCACCUGCUUCAGGGAAGCUUACUGUUGCUAAAUUGCUGUGUGACAAGAUCAAUACGAAUGUUCUUACUUUGGACAAUAUGUUAGCAAGUGAAAAAUCCGAUGUUGCUAAAAAAAUUCACAGAUUAAACAAUGGAAGUAAGGAAAUUCCCAAUACACUAUGGGCAAAGCUGAUCCUAGAACGGCUGUCAAAAAUGGACUGCAUCAAACGGGGUUGGAUCCUAGUGGGUUUCCCAAAAACCAGAGAACAGGCACUUGCAUUACAAGAAAUGGGAAUUGCGCCGGAACAUGUUGUUAUACUCGAUGCUCCUGAUACCGUGUUAAUUGAGAGGAAUCUUGAGAAAAGGAUUGACAUGACAACAGGAGAAAUAUAUCAUACAACUUUCAACUGGCCAACCUCCAGCAAAAUACGAAAGCGCCUAGUGAAACCUGGUGGAACAUCAGAGGAGGAAACUGCAAAGAGAUUAUUAGAAUACCGCAGAGUGAUUCAUGGGGUACUGAAUAGCUACAGUAAAAAAUACCAUAUUAUAAAUGCGGAUCAGCCCAGUGUCGAUGUCUUUUCGCAGACUUUAAGCCAUGUCCAAAGUCGACAUCGAUCCAACGCCCCCUACACGCCAAGAAUUAUUCUUCACGGUCCCCCUGGCAGUGGCAGGAGCCUGCAGGCAGCACUGAUUGCGGAAAAAUAUGGAAUUGUUAAUGUUUCCUGUGGACAGUUACUGAAAGAGCCUGUCGCUGCUGAGACAAGAUUCGGUGAAGCCAUUAAACCCUAUGCUGAAAGUAGGCAGCCAGUUCCAGAUGUUAUGGUCUUAAAAUGUCUGUCGCGACGUCUGAGCAAACUGGACUGUUCUACACGGGGCUGGGUCAUGCAUGGAUUUCCUCAAGAUGUGAGCCAGGCUGAAAUGCUAAAUGAUGCAGGAUUUAUUCCAAACAGGGUGUUUUUCCUGGAUGUUCCUGAUGAUGCUGUCAUUGAGCGUCUCGCAAUGAGGAUGACUGAUCCAAUUACAGGUGAAAGAUAUCAUUCCAUAUACAAACCAGCACCAACCAGUGAGGUUUACAGUCGCUGCAAAAUAAAUCCCAAGGAUUCUGAAGAAAAUGUGGGAAAAGCACUUGAAGUUUAUCAUGCCAAUGUGAGCGAGUUGGAACAAUUCUACAGCCCUGUAAUCCAUGUCAAUGCAGACCAGGAUCCUUACACAGUGUUUGAAUACAUUGAGAGCUGUGUUGUCAAACCACCGUCAAAAAACCCAAAUGCCUUUGUUUGAGUGAUAUUGUAGCUAAGAAACUACCAUGAUGUUUUUCCUACAGUUUAGAUUCUGCACACUUAAAUACAGCUAAUAGUCAUUUGUUUAACAGUAAAUUUAAUUCUCAACUUCUCCUAAAUAUACACUGGGUUUGCAUUAUUGUGUCAGAUCAUGCCUUAUAACAUCUCCAGAUGUGUGUUAAUCCAAUGUAAGUUAUAUUAGAGAAAGAGGUUGAUUUUUAUACAAAUCUCUGUCAAACAACUUCGGUUGAAAAAAUAGCUCAUACGUCUUCUUGAUCUGAGAUUGCAGAUGUAACAAUGUUAUCUACAAGACUAUGGAGCUGAUGUAACUUAACCUAUGACUGUGAUGAUCUUCUGUUCAUUCUGAGUAUUGGAUUCAACAGGAUGAACCUUUGAGAAAAUGUUUUUGAUGAUGCAAGGACUUCCAGGUCCACUUACGUAAUCAGUUAGCUCUUUAUCAGAUAGGCAACAAAGGUAGGACAUCAUUAAAUAGGAUACAGUCAAAGCUGAUCCUGUGCCAGAAAGCCUGUGGUUUUCACACUCAAGAUUAAACAGCUUCCGGCUUAUGGAUGACGCUAAAGAUGCUUUUAAUUUGUACUGAACACUUUGAUCAGCUCCCGAAAGCAAGCACACAUUUCCUACAAGUUGAAGUUUGAGCUUGUGUGUAAGUAUCUCAGGAUACUGGGAUAAAAACAGAACAAGAUGGAAAUAGUUAACAUUUCAAGUUGAUAGCCUUCAUCAAAACUGAAAAGGAAUGUUUUUCUCUGAGGUCUGUAGCCUUCCUGACACGCCUUCCCCUCUCCUCCCUUCUGAUGUCUGGUGUUCUUCCCUUCCUAAAUAGGGCGUUGCCCUUCAUUGACAUUGGACCCAAGUUCUUGUAAUUAUACCCCUGUUGUUACCUGGACCCUUCUUUCUAGGUACAUGCUCCUCUCUGCUACCUAGAGAACCAAUUUACUAAGCCCCUCUUUGCCCACUUCCCCUUCUACAAGGCUAAAACGAUGAUUUGGGAUAGCCAAAAGUAUGUAGCUGGUAUUUUGUAUACGUAGUGUACAGCUAAAUAUGGAUAACUCCCCACUUUUUAUCCACAAUCCUGCAGGUAGACAAUUUCUGAACAUGUGGCAACCUAUUCACAGCCCUUUUUGUUUAACCUAAACCCUUCUUAAGCUUGUAAGGCAUCUUUAGUUGGCAGGAGAGCCUUGAUGAUGAACAAGAACGGCUUCUUUAAAUUGACAUCAAGUUUUCAUUUCUAAUUUCGGGAAUGCUGAAAAUUCAGCUCCACAGCUUGAACACAAAAAGCCAAAGAUUGAUGCUUCUAUGUUGCGCUUGUACACAUGUACAAGAUAGAAAUUGGCAUUUCAAAAUUGGUUAAAGAACAUGCUUGAUGACAGGGUGGCUGCAUCAGCCAUGUCAGAUCAGACAUCUGGUACAGCCAUGAGGAGAGUAGCACAGCAGGUCAAAGCUCUUGCUGUAAUAGAGACCUGAUUCUUCAGUUUGAAUAUGGGUUCUUUGUAGGCAAAUUAUGUUGAUGGAGCGUUCACUUGGCAGCUGAGAACUGAGGAAGUAUUGCACAGUCAAAGGUGUCAAUUUCAGAUGAGACAUUAAACUGAAUCUCUGUUGUUUCAGGCAAACAUAAACGAUACUGUUUUGAAAAAUCAGCAGAGUUGCCACAUUUGUCCUGACCAAUCCCUGUCUCAGUCUACAAUACAAAAAUAGAUUAUCUGGCCAUUACUGCAUUGCUGGUUGUGUAAUUUUAGUCUGCAGAAGUUACAGCAGCAACUAUGUUUCAAAAUACUUAAUUGGGUGUAAAAUUCUAGAGAUAUUCUCUGGUUAUAAAACACACUUCAUAAGUGUCGGUCUUUCUUUUAGUAUAGAAAUACAAGAGGUGAGAGAUGUUUUGACUGUGUUUUCAGUCUGACAAUGCUUUAAAAAUGGAACAUAAAAAUUUAUGGCCCCAUUUCCCCUUGUAAUCCACCUGUCAGAAUUUUUACUGGGGCUAUCACAUGGCUGCCUCAGAUCCCCAGCUAUUUCACAUGCAAUAUCCAGCUGAAUUCAAGAGAUUGGCAGCUUUAAGAUUUGAACCUGGAACCAUGUAUGUUCAGAACUUCUGUGGUUUUGCUUUCCGUUAUUGGUACUUAUUUUUAUUAAUUUCACUAAGACCUAAGUAACAAUGCAAAAUAAGAGUAGAGGGUAUCAAAGAAACAGAAAAUAUAUGGUGUAUAUUUGUUAUUUAAUUGUAUGCUGCUUUUAUCGAUGGAGUUUCCUCUCUUACUGACACUGCUGUGCCAGCUGAUGAUAAAAUACAUUAGAUAUACCAAUUAUGCAUUGUUAUUUUCUUAAUGACAGCACUUUUUUGUAGUAAACCUGCUUUAUGCAGUGUCUCUGUUUCCUGCCCCUACUUUGGUGAGUGCACAGAUGAAUGCAAACAAGGAAUUGUGCUCUCUGUGACUGCUUCAUUCCAUGUUGAACAUGCAGACUCAGGUCAGUGAGUGACCUCGGGGAUCCACUGGGAACGAGCACUGAGAACAAGUGCUGAGCUGGGGGGCAGCAGAACAUGUUAAUACUCUUGUUUAACGAUCCCUUAGAAAUGGAGAACAACAGAGAUUGGUCUUUGUUAUAACUGUACCGAGUCAGCCUAAUUACUGUUCUGGGUAUUAAAAGGCAGACAAUCUAUGGCAAAUGCUUAAUUUACAAAGCAGUUGUUUUGUUUUAACUCUGUGCAGAGUGUAAUAAAUGAUAAAACAACAGUAUAAUCUUUAGAUUAUUAAAAAUGCCAUUUUCUGAUAUAAAUAUAUGCUUGAAAAUUUAAAAAAACAAAUUGGAAAUUAUAAAACAAGAAAUAAUGAUCUAAGGCUACAUUUUACAUGGACCUCAAGAGGAUGAACCACCUGCCUUCACGAAAUAGUCUUGUUGUGUGCUUGAGCAGAGAUCUCUCCCUGAGAGGAUUCCAUAACUUGCUUGCUCCACAAAAAGGAAAAUACAGUAAAUCCAAUUUUCUAUAGAAAACAAUCUUUAAAGCUGUAUUUCGGCUCUAUUUACUUUUAUAGCUUGACGUAUAUUCUCUAUCGGUGAGACGCUGUACAUGGCCUACCAAUGUAUGGAAGCUUGUUAAGGGAGAGAGGACUUAAGGGCAGAUUGCUAAGAAAUAAAUGAUUCAUUUAUUUCAAUUUAACAGUGCAUUGUUGUAAUUGAACAGCAGAAAUUCUUGUGUAGAUGCAACAGCUAAUUCAAAAUAAUUACCAAC